rnacentral:lncRNA from 1 species
GGAAACGAGUUACAAAUAAUACCCCCAUGGGAUAUCCCAUGUUAUUUGCCGUGGCCAUUCCCCUGGCCACGACCAUGGCCAUGCCCUCCUCCACGACCACGACCACAACCUCGACCACGCCCAUGCCCACCGCCACCUCCUCCACCGUGUCCCCCACCACCUCUACCUCCGCGCUCACCACCACCUCCACCUCCGCGCUCGCCACCGCCUCCACCACCAAGAUCACCCCCUCCUACACCGUUUUCGGGGUGCUCUAUUAGUGACCAAGAAAAGGUGAAGAAAUGCAUGUUCAACACAACUUCAAUUGAUGCAUGUUGUCCAACAUUCAAGAGCAUACUU